rnacentral:misc_RNA from 1 species
GAACUGCGAUACGUAAUGUGAAUUGCAGAGCCUAGUGAAUCAUCAAAUCUUUGAACGCAUAUUGCGCCCCCUAGUACUCUAGCGGGCAUGCCUGUUCGUGCGUCAGCUCCCCUCUCAAGCGCAGCUUGGUCUUGGGCGCCGCCAGCCAUGGCGGCCCCGAAAGGUAGUGGUCUGGCCCUGGGGCCCGGAGCGCAGUUCUGCUCUCGCUCACGACCCCCGGCGGCACGCGACCAAGAAGCCCCCAAGCGGUCACAAUGGUUGGACCUCGAAUCAGGUAGGGAUACCCGCUGAACUUAAGC